UCAAAUGCAUUCCAGCAGGACGACAUAAGAUACUACUCACCUCUUGCAGAGCCAUCCCUUCUUUUCCAAGAAGUGAAAACUGAAGUCAAAUUGUAAUCACAAUACACCCAUGCUCUUUCUACAGAGCGAUUACUAGCUAUUGAAAUAUUCCAUCAAGAGAAAACAUAAUCAGAUUUUAUACCAUUUUCAAGACCUAAUGCUUUUUCUGGCAUAAAAAGCUUCACAGAAGUUCAGACUAGAUGAAAAGUGUCAUACUGUUACCUUAACUAGUAAUAUAAACAACAGAUUUCUUCCCACUAAGAAUCCCAGAAAUCAUCCUGCUAUGACUGUUGGUGAGGUACAGCUGCUACAGAACUAAAACCUUGAGAAAACAGCUAAUAAAUAUUUGACCUUUGUGACCUCAGAAAGACUUCAAAACUUUCCUUACCAAAAGACCCUCUGAAGUUCCUGUCAGAAAUUGACUUGGGAAAGUUCAUAUUCCUCUUCGAUUGGUAAUGAAAGACAACACAAUACAAUUUUACAGUAGCACAGUUUAUCAUUAGAACUUAUGAAUUCCGAUCCAAUUUCUGCUUUGCUAUUUUUCUGUAGCUCCUUUUAAAGCAAUAGUAGCAAUACUGCAGAUUUAAAAAAUCUUGUUCUAGGUCACAGAGAUUUACUUGUAAUAUUUCCUCUGCUACUAAAAUAUCUUUAGGGAAAUUAUUCCAUUCCAUUUCACUGCAGCCCAUUAGUACCUACAGGCCAGCCGAGAAAGAAUAUUGCAUAUGAAAGCCUCCAUCAAGACACACCAAUCUCAGCUUGACAUAAAAAUAUAUUUCCAAUGUUCAGCUACUAAAAUACAUCAUUACUUGAAAUACAUUACCUUCUAGUACCUAAUUAAGCAACUGUUAAAAUGCUAACCUUGUUGCUUCUUCCACUUUCAGUGUUCAAGAACAUUAUAAAUUAGCCUACUGCAAAUCCUGAAAAUAAAGCAUAGUCCACUUCAAGAAGCUGCUCUCUAUGUUUACAGAAUUUUCUACAGACCGCCAACCAAGUCAUUGUGAAAUGUGCCACUUACAGAAAUAACUGGUUAAUUAUUUUCUGAAGAUAUCUGCAAUAAAACCAGAAAAUUCAGCAGGUAGAUUUGGAAAAAGAAAAAUGAGAAAGGAUCUUAAGGUUUCUGGUCAUUAUUCUGUCAACUACAACUUACGACUGGAAUUAAGCUGUUGUGCUCUUCAGCUUUAGACAAGACACAUAUUUACAAUAAAUGCAUUCUAAAUGUAUUUAGAUUCUAAAUGACCACAUAUCAAGGCAGCAUAAAAUUCAUCAUGCUAACAAAGCUGCCAGAGUUCUGUUUUUGUAAAUUUUCUAACCACAGGCUUGAACAACAAAUACUGCUUACCACCUACAUUCUGUGGCUGCAUUUUUAGAUGAUGACUUCAUUUAAUGCUGCUCUUGUGAGUAGAAGGUGUCAACCUAGUUUGUUCCAAGUUUUCACUGAAAACAUGUAAUUUUAAAUGUUUUCUUUGGAUAAAAGCAUCUCAUCCAACCUGCUAAUCUCCAGAAACUUUAAGAAGUGAAGAGAGACUGGACAACCAAUUCCUUAUGCCAUCCAGUGAAUAAUGAAGCUCUUUUUAAUACAAAUGCACCCAGUCCAGGUGCAGAAAAUAUUUCAAAAGUAAGGUUUUAGAGAUACUUUGUAUUUUAUCUCCUUCUGAGAGGCACAUCUUAAAUACUAAAUGUGUGGUACUUUUUAAAUACCAAGGCCUUUCCCUCACUUUUCAACAUAUGUACACAUGGGCCUUUGUUAAACAGACUCAUAUGUUUAUCGCUCUGUACUAACUUGAAAGAACAGUUAACAGCCUAAAGAAUUUUCAGAGUAAAUAACCACAGCCUAUUUUUUAUCAUCAUAAACAUGUGAGCAGUUCUGAAGUAUGUGUUUACAGCUCUGUAAAUACAACUGUUUGCAGGACUGGACCACAGAGAGAACAUUUUAAUUGCUGGAACAGGAUGUUGUAACACAGACAGGUCCUAACACUCACAGAGCCACAGACUGCAACAUCAGUCUCGACAGCAUUUAGCACCCUCUGACUCUCCAUCAUGGAAAACAAAUGAGAAGACAAGAGCAGCAGUGAGGUCUUUGCAAACUCCAUUCGUUACUUACUCAAUACAAAUUAUUAGCACUGCUUGUAUUUGGGAUUCUGAAACUAGUAUUAGCCUUUUGCCACCAUGCCAACCAUUGGCCCUCAACAGCCCAAUUUCACAGAUCUCAUCUUGCAAAAUCUACCAAAGAAUAGAAACAUGUCUUUUUUUUAGUAAAAGUCAGUAAAGUAGCACAAGGCAUGAGACAAAAACAUCAAUAUAUUUAAAUAAAAACAUUUUGUGCUUAGGGAAAAAGCUGUAAUCAAAUGCAUAGGACUUAAGGCAUUAAUGAAAUGAACUUUUUCCCAAAGGAGCAUUAAUAUCUCUCAAACAGGACAGUGCUCAAAGUCCCAAGACAAUUAUAUAAUUACUUAUCUUUAGACAGAGUAUUAUGUUACACAAUAUUGGAAUUGAACAAGCCUCUUGAGCAAAUCAGUAUCAAACUACUGAUGUUACAGUAUUUUCAUACCGUCCUAGGUAGUUUAGUGAACCAUUAGGAAGUUUUGACACUAACAUUAUUUUGGAUCAAAUAAUACAUGUGUUCUGUUAAUUACUAAACCAUAAAUAUUCAAUAGAUUUAAUUUUAACACUUGGUCUCCACUGGAUCAAGCUGAUUACUAGAAAUAAGUCUGUCUAAGAUGUAGCAAUGUUUCUGGUCCAUUAGGACCAUUAGGAGAGGCUUAGUGAUUAUGGCUGAGAAAGGAAUAAAGAUCACUUGAACAAUCAACCUACAAACCCAUGUAUACCAUGGGCAUACCAUGGGAGACUCCUUGACUACCAAACUCACAUACCAUUGCCACUCCUCUCUUUAAAUGACAUUAAAAUACCUGCCAUCUGGCAUUAUAUUUAUUUUUAGUACCUUUUUUAUGUUUUUCCCCAUGGAAAAAGCUUGUGAGUAAUACUUUAGAAUUAGAGUGUUAAAGUUAAAAAUACUCUUAUACACAUAAAUGAUCAUUUUAGUGUAUGUAAAAAGAUAAUAUGGUAAGUAGGCUGUGGAAAACAGAGGAUGCUUACAGCACUUGAACAAAUGAACUAGUUUCCACAUGAUCAGCAGAACACAGAAAUAUGAAAUCAGAGUUGAUUUAGGUGGCAAAAAUAAAGUCCUACACAUACACGGAAUGUAAACAUUCUCUGACUCAUUACAGAACAGUUGCUUAAGACAGAAUUAAAUAGUCAACAUGUGCUCAUUCACUGAAGUCAUCAGUUUUAGAAACACACAAUAAGUGUAGCAUGCAUCUGUUCAGACUGAAUGUGAUCAUUACAUGGCUAUAAACUUCAGCCAAGAAAAGAAGUUACUAUAGCUCUCUCCCUUCUCACGAUUUCCUCAUCUUGCUUCAUAAAUAACUUCAGUCUGAAGUUAUUUGAGUUUCCACAUGUAAGAGUUACAACACCAUUUAUUUCUUAAAGGCUUGACACUUAAAGAGGCAGGGACACUGAAGGAAGAAAAAGGAAAUGUUCCUUUGGAAAAGCAGGUCUUAUACACAACCAGUUAACAUUUACCACAGUCAUGGUUCAAGCACUAUUUAACGCUUCUUACUCCCAUAAAUCCCACUUCCUUAGCAGUGUGGAACUGAAAAACAGCACUGCUUUCAUCUGUUACAGGUUUAUUGAGUAGCAAAUCUACUGGAGAGGAAGCAGCUUGCACACACAUUUUACAACCUUGGUCAAGUCCUCAUCUCUGAAAAUAUCUCUAGUCUGAGAAACCCUCUGAGAUGGUCAUCUACUAAGGAAACUCUUCCUCAACACAUUAAGCGAACUCCCAGUUCCAUACCUUGUAUUAUUUCCAAUAGUAAAAGAUUAUCAGAAUUUACAGUAAAGUCACAAAAGACCACUUCAAAACAGAAUUACAGCUUCUGCAGCUUGUUCUGGAUUUCACAUUUUUAUUGCAAGUACAUGACAAGUACCCAUUUUGGCCAGAACUUUCAGCUUUAUGCUUGCCUUCUUUUUAACAUUUAAAUGCACAUCCAGGUUAAUCUGCUGGAACACUCAGGAGUAGAUACCUUCCACGAAAACACUGUAUGAAAGGAUGCAGCAGGUACGGUACUAUCUUCUUAUUUUAGUCUCUGUUUUGUGUAGAGUGCUGAUGAACCCCAAAGCUCCAUGGUGAGGUCUCUUGACGAGGACUUCAGUAUCCUUUCCUUCCUCUGAAUCUUGCCCUGGUAUCCAACUGAAAAUUGAAGACAAUAUAUUAAGAGCAGGUAUUUUCCAAAAGAGGUAUUGUAGAGUGUUUGUGCUACCUUGGCACUUUGUAACAACAGAACAAAGGCCAGAAUAAAGCAGAAGAAAACUAGUGAUGUAACCAACAAGCCACAGGGGAUUCCAAUGAAAGAGGGAUUAUACAAUCUUAAACAUCACACAAAACUAAAAUUAUGUGGUAAGUGUCUUAUGCAUUCUGAAAUAAACAACAUAAAUUAUAGAACAGCAUAGUAGGAUGGCAAGGAACCCAUGAAAAACAAGGUAAAUCUGCUUAGAUAAUUUUGCAAAUGUAACCGAUAAAGUGAAGGAGGAAAAUUCAGAUCUGGUUGAAGUAAGAGUCAGUAGAAAUGUCUGUAAGGAGAGGGAUAACUUAAAUACACCAAGUUUCUGGAAAAAAUAUAAGCCAAUCAGUAAAAACAGAAACAUUAUUAAACUUGUAAAAUCUGCACAUUUAAUCUUGGCAAUUACAGAAAAAACAUUUACUGAAAGGCUAAAGAUGAUGGUAAACUAAAAUAAAUGCCACAGUGCAGUACUUACAGAAGCUAAACUGCAAGUUCUUUCCCAAUGCAGCAGAAAAACAUACUGUGAUCUUGGGAGAAUCUUUCUGAACUUAGCCAUCUUGAAGAGGGCCAUGACAGAUUGCAACUCAGCCAUAUUCUGAUAUUAGACUGAGGAGGUUUCUUUUACCACCAUUAACUAACCCUCUUCCAGAAUUCAGAACUGCAGCAAAAUUUGUAAAGAGCUAGACUCACGAUGACACAGCUUGUCCAAUAACCAAGCAGCUUUCACUUUCAACCUUGGCCCAACUUCAACAUCUAAAGUGUACUAAAGUUAUUCCUCUGAUUAGACUUCCUCUUUCCUUGAAAAGAAAACAGCAUUGAGGUAAAACCCCUGAUGAUUUUUGCAUACUGAAAGUUAUAUCUGUAUUUAGUCUCUAACUUGGUUUUGGACACUCUUUAAGUUUCACUAUUAUAAUGUAUACCAAGUUUGACUGAGCAUGAUUAUGGAGAUUUACAGAAUUAACAGGACACUCAUCAAUCUUAAAAUUUGGGAGAGUUAAAUAAAAUCAUUUAAGAGCCAGGCCCGUCCCUGCAUGACUAGAGGCAUUUAGCUAGAAACUUUAAUCAGGCUCCCUUAACAAUUCACAGGCAGAAAAAUAUAGACAUAUCAUCUGGAGAUGCAUAUGUUGCUACUGCAGCUUUAUAUAGGUAUUUCAAACUUUCAAUAUACAACAUCUUCCCAUACACAGAAAUAAUAAUUUGUCACUUUAUGGAUUAAUAUGGUUCAUAUAGAAGAGGUACAAAAAGCUCCUACAAUGAAUACAAAAUGGAAGAAAAAUUUAAAGUACCAUUGCAGCUUAAAGUACCUUAGCCAUUUUGACAGUAAAGAAAAAAUUAAGAACAUUUUGUAUGUAAAUGGUUGUAAAUUUCUCUUUAUUGUAGAUAAUUGUGUAAAAAAGUUUGAAGUGUCCUUUUUUAUUAAAAUAUUUACAA
ensembl:lncRNA